rnacentral:rRNA from 1 species
UGGGGAAUAUUGCACAAUGGGCGAAAGCCUGAUGCAGCAACGCCGCGUGAGGGAAGACGGUCUUCGGAUUGUAAACCUUUGUCCUUGGUGACGAAAAGAAUGACGGUAGCCGAGGAGGAAGCCACGGCUAACUACGUGCCAGCAGCCGCGGUAAUACGUAGGUGGCAAGCGUUGUCCGGAAUUACUGGGUGUAAAGGGAGCGCAGGCGGGGGAGCAAGUCAGCUGUGAAAUAUACGGGCUUAACUCGUAGACUGCAGUUGAAACUGUUCUUCUUGAGUGUCGGAGAGGUAGACGGAAUUCCUAGUGUAGCGGUGAAAUGCGUAGAUAUUAGGAGGAACACCAGUGGCGAAGGCGGUCUACUGGACGAUAACUGACGCUGAGGCGCGAAAGCGUGGGGAGCAAACAGGAUUAGAUACCCUGGUAGU